rnacentral:rRNA from 1 species
GAUGAACGCUAGCGGCAGGCCUAAUACAUGCAAGUCGAACGGUGUCUUCGGACAUAGUGGCGCACGGGUGCGUAACACAUAUGCAACCUACCUUACAUUGGGGGAUAGCCUUUCGAAAGGGAGAUUAAUACCGCAUAAGACAGUAGCUGGGCAUCCAGCAGCUGUUAAAGAUUUAUCGAUGUAAGCUGGGCAUGCGUCCAAUUAGCUAGUUGGUGAGGUAACGGCUCACCAAGGCAAUGAUUGGUAGGGGAACUGAGAGGUCAAUCGCCCACGCUGGCACAGAGAUCCGCGCCAGGCUCGUACGGGGAGCAGGCGGAGGGAAGAGUGGGGGAUGGACACAAGUCUGACCCAGCCAUGCCGCGUGCAGGAUGAAGGCGUUAUGCGUUGUAAACUGCUUUUAUACAGGAAGAAACGACUCUUGCGAGAGGCAUUGACGGUACUGUAUGAAUAAGCACCGGCUAACUCCGUGCCAGCAGCCGCGGUAAUAC